AAUCCUACGGGAGGCAGCAGUGGGGAAUAUUGCACAAUGGGCGCAAGCCUGAUGCAGCCAUGCCGCGUGUAUGAAGAAGGCCUUCGGGUUGUAAAGUACUUUCAGCGGGGAGGAAGGCGAUAAGGUUAAUAACCUUGUCGAUUGACGUUACCCGCAGAAGAAGCACCGGCUAACUCCGUGCCAGCAGCCGCGGUAAUACGGAGGGUGCAGGCGUUAAUCGGAAUUACUGGGCGUAAAGCGCACGCAGGCGGUCUGUCAAGUCGGAUGUGAAAUCCCCGGGCUCAACCUGGGAACUGCAUUCGAAACUGGCAGGCUAGAGUCUUGUAGAGGGGGGUAGAAUUCCAGGUGUAGCGGUGAAAUGCGUAGAGAUCUGGAGGAAUACCGGUGGCGAAGGCGGCCCCCUGGACAAAGACUGACGCUCAGGUGCGAAAGCGUGGGGAGCAAACAGGAUUAGAUACCCGAGUAGUCCCAUGA
rnacentral:rRNA from 1 species